rnacentral:rRNA from 1 species
UAGUUGGUGGGGUAAAGGCCUACCAAGGCGACGAUCAGUAGCGGGUCUGAGAGGAUGAUCCGCCACACUGGAACUGAGACACGGUCCAGACUCCUACGGGAGGCAGCAGUGGGGAAUUUUGGACAAUGGGGGCAACCCUGAUCCAGCCAUUCCGCGUGAGUGAAGAAGGCCUUCGGGUUGUAAAGCUCUUUCAGCUGGAACGAAACGGUACGCUCUAACAUAGCGUGCUAAUGACGGUACCAGCAGAAGAAGCACCGGCUAACUACGUGCCAGCAGCCGCGGUAAUACGUAGGGUGCGAGCGUUAAUCGGAAUUACUGGGCGUAAAGCGUGCGCAGGCGGAUUGUUAAGCAAGACGUGAAAUCCCCGGGCUUAACCUGGGAAUGGCGUUUUGAACUGGCAGUCUAGAGUGUGUCAGAGGGGGGUAGAAUUCCACGUGUAGCAGUGAAAUGCGUAGAGAUGUGGAGGAAUACCAAUGGCGAAGGCAGCCCCCUGGGAUAACACUGACGCUCAUGUACGAAAGCGUGGGUAGCAAACAGGAUUAGAUACCCUGGUAGUCCACGCCCUAAACGAUGUCAACUGGUUGUUGGGGGAGUGAAAUCCCUUAGUAACGAAGCUAACGCGUGAAGUUGACCGCCUGGGGAGUACGGUCGCAAGAUUAAAACUCAAAGGAAUUGACGGGGACCCGCACAAGCGGUGGAUGAUGUGGAUUAAUUCGAUGCAACGCGAAAAACCUUACCUACCCUUGACAUGUCCAGAAUCCUGCGGAGAUGCGGGAGUGCCCGAAAGGGAAUUGGAACACAGGUGCUGCAUGGCUGUCGUCAGCUCGUGUCGUGAGAUGUUGGGUUAAGUCCCGCAACGAGCGCAACCCUUAUCAUUAGUUGCUACGCAAGGGCACUCUAAUGAGACUGCCGG